CGCUUCCUGAGCGAGCCGCUUCCUGACUCGAGUCCCUCCCCCCUCAGGGCCCUCUCCGGGCGUCGGGCUCAGGGCCGCCACCGCCACCGCCACCAGCACCAGCACCACCUCGGCUCCUGCCGGUGCCGUCACCUCUCCCGCCCACCCCUCGCCAUGUCCGAGGACCUUUCGGCGGCCACGUCCUACACGGAAGAUGAUUUCUACUGCCCUGUCUGUCAGGAGGUGCUCAAGACGCCGGUGCGGACCGCGGCCUGUCAGCACGUUUUCUGUAGAAAAUGUUUCCUGACUGCAAUGAGAGAAAGUGGAAUACAUUGUCCCCUAUGUCGUGGAAGUGUGACUAGAAGAGAAAGAGCAUGUCCGGAACGGGCCUUAGAUCUUGAAAAUAUCAUGAGGAGGUUUUCUGGUAGCUGCAGAUGCUGUUCAAAAAAGAUUAAAUUCUAUCGCAUGAGACAUCAUUACAAAUCUUGUAAGAAGUAUCAGGAUGAAUAUGGUGUUUCUUCUGUCAUUCCAAACUUUAAGAUUUCUCAAGAUUCAGUAAGGAGCAGUAAUAGGAGUGAAACGUCUGCAUCUGAUAACACAGAAACUUAUCAAGAGGAUACAAGUUCUUCUGGGCAUCCCACCUUUAAGUGUCCCUUAUGUCAAGAGUCAAAUUUCACCAGACAACGUUUAUUGGAUCACUGUAAUAGUAACCACCUAUUUCAGAUAGUUCCUGUGACAUGUCCUAUUUGUGUGUCUCUUCCUUGGGGAGAUCCUAGCCAGAUUACUAGAAAUUUCGUUAGUCAUCUAAAUCAAAGACAUCAGUUUGAUUAUGGAGAAUUUGUGUUAAAAGGUUUUGUUGUUGCUGUUGUUUUGCCUGGUGUGUUUUGCUGCUGAGGAUUGGACUCAGGGACUCAGUACCUUCUAAACAGCCAUUCUACACUGAGAAUCUUCAGCUAGAUGAGGAAACCCAAUAUCAAACUGCUGUGGAAGAGUCUUUUCAAGUAAGCAUGUGACGUGCAUA